ACCCCAUCCUCGCCGCUCCAGCCGCCGGAAAACGUAGAAAAACCGCCGGUUUUUAACCAAAACUUUCGUCGUCAUUUCUAACUAUUCCGGUCACCAAAUUUGUCGAUCCAGGCAAUAGAUAGACUUGAACCGAGCAGCCGAGCCGAGAUCUUUACUUCCGAGCCCCGAGCUUCCGUUGAAAAUUUUGGAAAAUGUCCAUUUUUCAAGGGAGACUCGACCGAAAUUUUGGCAGAAAGUCUCGUUCCUCUUUUCCUUAAUUUGGAAAAAGAGGCUGUAAUGUUAGUAAG